rnacentral:rRNA from 1 species
AGAGUUUGAUCCUGGCUCAGGAUGAACGCUAGCGGCAGGCUUAAUACAUGCAAGUCGAACGGGAUUCGGGGUAGCAAUACUUUGAUGAGAGUGGCGCACGGGUGCGUAACGCGUAUGCAACCUACCUUUAACAGGGGAAUAGCCCCGAGAAAUCGGGAUUAAUACUCCGUAACAUUGCGGUGUGGCAUCACACUGCAAUUAAAGAUUUAUCGGUUAAAGAUGGGCAUGCGUGACAUUAGCUAGUUGGUGAGGUAACGGCUCACCAAGGCAACGAUGUCUAGGGGUCCUGAGAGGGUUAUCCCCCACACUGGUACUGAGACACGGACCAGACUCCUACGGGAGGCAGCAGUAAGGAAUAUUGGUCAAUGGGCGCAAGCCUGAACCAGCCAUGCCGCGUGCAGGAAGACGGCCCUAUGGGUUGUAAACUGCUUUUAUCAGGGAAUAAACCCCCGCUCGUGAGCGGGGCUGAAGGUACCUGAAGAAUAAGCAUCGGCUAACUCCGUGCCAGCAGCCGCGGUAAUACGGAGGAUGCAAGCGUUAUCCGGAUUCAUUGGGUUUAAAGGGUGCGCAGGCGGAUUGGUAAGUCAGGGGGUGAAAUCCCACAGCUCAACUGUGGAACUGCCUUUGAUACUGUCAGUCUAGAGUAUAGUUGAA